rnacentral:rRNA from 1 species
UUCCGUAUGUGAACCUGCGGAAGGAUCAUUAACACUAAUCCAAACCGACUCAACCAAGCCUAAUUGUUGCUGCUUUUGUGGCAACUUAAACCUAACCAAAUGAAGCUAACUAAGCUCAACCAAAACCAAAUCCUCAACGAUGGAUAUCUAGGUUCCUACAACGAUGAAGAACGCAGCGAAGUGCGAUAAGCAGUGCGAAUUGCAGAACCGUGAGUCAUCAGAUUUUUGAACGCAACUGGCACUAAAGGGUUCUCCCUUUAGUAUGCUUCCUUCAGUGUGUUAUUAUUUCCUCACCCAAAUCCUAAUGCGAUAGAUGCCCUUCUAUUGCUAAGCAGGAAAGCACUCUACGCUUUGCAGUGAAUCACUUGUGAUUCACACUCAAUGCAGCAGUCACAUUCUCCAAUGUGAACUCAUUGAGCGCAGAGGUAGUGGUCAGCCUCGGCAGACUCAGUGCUUGGAGAUACAAAUUUUCUCAUCAUCUGAAGUGAAGUAGGACCACCCGCUGAACUUAAGCAUAUCAAUAAGCGG